UACCACAACUACCUGGGGAAUUACACGCAAUACUAUCUAUAUCAGGAAGAGGCUCAUGAUCAUAAUGAAGCUUUCAGGGCGGAUUACGUGUUUUUACGUAAUUUCCGUAUUUUCACAACGCCUCUCUGUGUGGAAGGCGUCCCCACUGGGAAGUGUGCGAAUGGGCUGUACUUGGAUACGGCGCUUGCACGAUGUAAAUACUGUAAUGAACACUGCCCCUGGGUCGGGUUCCAAGCCAUACCUCAAGCCUGCUCAACAUACUGCCUGACAUCCACAACAGCACCGACCACGACGACACCCCCAAAGACAAAGACUGGAGUCCCCUUAAACACCCCAGCCAUCAUCGCUAUCUGCCUGGCCUGCGGAAUAUGUGUAACGGGUAUUGUGGGGCUGCUGUGGAUGUUCGUCCCUGCAUGUCAAACUACCCGUAAGACACCAUUCCAGAGGGGGUACCACCUACAGGUGUUCUGGAAACUAAUACAGGACACAACCGUUCUCAUCAUAUAGAACAUCCUUAAGUUCCCUAGUACUAAACAACCGAUGGAUUCGCGAGGACAACCUGCGUGGGUAUUCUGGUGUUCCAAGGAUUGUUGUUGUGGAUUGGAUGGUUACAAUGUACAACCUGACUGUCUUCCUCCACUCACUCGACGAUGCUCAUACAGCGGACCAAGGCUUACUUUCAGCACAUGUACUUAAGGGGGAAUAAUGCAGACGGUGGGGUAAAGCGACAAUUGCUCAGCAGAGGCCCAGAUAAGCUGCGU